ensembl:snoRNA U3 Small nucleolar RNA U3
AAGACUAUACUUUCAGGGAUCUUUUCUAUAGUUCAUUCCUAGAGAAAUUUCCCUGAGCAUGUAGAGCAUGAAAAAACUAAAUAUGGA